UACGUAGGGUGCAAGCGUUGUCCGGAAUUAUUGGGCGUAAAGAGCUCGUAGGCGGUCUGUCGCGUCUGCUGUGAAAACUCAGGGCUUAACCCUGAGCUUGCAGUGGGUACGGGCAGACUAGAGUGCGGUAGGGGAGACUGGAAUUCCUGGUGUAGCGGUGAAAUGCGCAGAUAUCAGGAGGAACACCGGUGGCGAAGGCGGGUCUCUGGGCCGAUACUGACGCUGGAGGAGCGGAAAGCGUGGGGAGCGAACAG
rnacentral:rRNA from 1 species